ACACUCUUACCUAUGACACCCGAUAAACCCUUUUCAUUCAAUCACAUUAGUUCAUACAUAUUAUUUCUUUCAUUUAUUAUUUAACCCCAAAUGACACAUAUACCCAUAUCCCCAGUAAAACAAGAGUACGAAAUUUAUAUUUCAAAAUAUGUGAAUGAAAUAAAUAUACAUUAUGCUGACUGAAAUGUAUUAUGCACAAAAUAGAACAACGAGAAAUAUAAAUUAAGACAAAUAAAUUAAAGUAGGUUAAAAUAAAACAAAGUAAAUAAAUAAGUACAAUAAAGUAACCAAAUAAAUAGUUAGCACAAUUAAGCAAGUAUAAACUGACCGAUUACUUGCUUCAUCAAAAACAUGUACUUAAUUAAUCAAGAAACUGUCAGUUAUCCAAAAUUUUUGUUUAUUAUUAAUUUAGUUUUAAUUUCACUGUAAUAGAAAAAAUGGAUGGGAGAUUCUUACACUGGGUCAAUGUUCAAAACAUCGCUUUUUCACUACGAUUCUCGACGAUUUUUGGAUCUCGAAUUUUCUUGGAUUUUUCUGAUAAGAUUAAAACAUACGUUAAAAUGAUGUGAAAUUACGUAAGAAACGGUAAAAAAUGGCAAAAAUCUCACCGGAGGUCGGGUUGGGGUUCCAGCGCAGUGGCGCUGCCGUGCUCUGCCACCUGGUCCUCUUCUCCAGUGGCUCAUCCUUUCGGUCAAACUGGUUUUGGCCGGUCCUUGGUGAAAAUUUAUUUAAAUCGUGGUUAGAAGGUGUUUUGCGGCGAAAGAAAGGGAAAAACAAAGGCUUACUGACGGUUUUGGUCAUCCGGUACUGCGAUUCAACCGAGCUCUGUCGUUCCUUCCUCGCAGUGUGCGGCUUCUCUCGGUUACCCUGCAUCGAAAACACGUUAGAUGACUAAGGGCAGAGAAACAGGAAGAACGAGAAGAAUUUCUAGCUUACCAGAGUGUUUUCGGCGUUCUGGCAUGGUGGCGCCGACAUUCCUUCUCCGACUGGGUCUCCUUCCGACCACCCUUCUUCUUCUUCUGUGACAAGGCAUGUCGGCUAAGGUUUGGGGUUUGACUGAAUGAGAUUCUUAAAUAUUCUCAUCCCUUUGAUCUGGAUUGUCCAUCUAGGCCUACGUGGAUCAACCUCAGUCGCCCGACCUUGUUUAUUUGGAAAACAAAUCUAGACCGUUCGGUUGAAGACACGUGAACCGUUUGAUCAGAGUUAUCCAAAAAAUUGAUCUCGGUCGUUCGUGCAUGUAGGAGUGGCCCUGAGUCGUUCGAUUGGCCUGACAUGCGAAUUGUCUGCAUGGCUUCCUGCAUGGAACCUGUGUCGACAUGUCUACCAUGCAGCGUGCAGCAAUUCAUCGUGCUGCUGACUGGGCGUACACAUGACCCAUAUUUUUUUUUUUACUAUUUGACUCCUUUUUCUAAAUAUUUUUUUAAAACAUAUUCUCGUUUAUUUAUAAUUUGAUCUUAUCUUUUAAAAAUUAUUUAAAAAAAGUUUAAAAUUGACAUUUAAAAAAAAUAAACAUAAUUAAAAUAAUAUUAAAAUUCACGUUUCUGAGCCUAAUUCUUAGAUUCGGAGUGUUACAUAUUUUGACAUAAUUUUAAUUAAAUUAAUAAAAAUAAACAUAUAAGAACAAACUUAUACUUAUCUUUUUGCUGAGCACUAAGCAAUAACGAUGAAUGAAACAAAAUUGAAGAAAAAAUAAAAAAUAAAAAAAAUGUUGAUUUUAAAUCAUUGUUGGAGACAAGUCAUGGGUGAAAUGAGGUGUAGGUGAAAAUUCCUUUAAUACACUGAAUUCACGUGAGAUUCAGACGUAUCUCCGUACUAUUUCCACUUGCCCAGAAAAAAUAAUUUGAUUAAUUCAAUAAUUAUACGUGAAAUUUAUGGUGAAUUUUUAAUUAUUAAGAAUUAAAACAACGGUCUCUCUAUUUUUAUUUACUAAUAAUUAUUAAAAUUAAAAGGGCAGUAUCUUAUCUAAUGACUUUAAAAUAUAGUUAUUGAAAUCAGACUUAAUUUGAUAGUUUUGACUUUUUAAAUUUUUUAUCUAUAUUUUGAGCUAACAAUUUAAUUGAUAAGUUAUUAAUUAAAUUAAUAAAUUAAAUAAUCAACGUGCAAACCAGUUCAACAUAUAACUCAUUAAAAUAUAAAAAUUAUGAUUUUUUUUUUUUUAAUUUAAAAAAAAACCUUCAGUGGUAUAUGUCAUUGGAUCCUUCAUUUUUAAUUCUCUACCCACUAAAUUAAACUACUGUUUUCCAACUGCAUAAUUUUUAUUUUACUUUUUCAGAUUAUUGUUUGUUGCAUGUGUUUGUUUUCUCCAUAAUAUAUAUAUGUGUGUGUAUAUUAUUCUGGUUAUUGCUUGUUCAAACCAUUUAUUUAAAUUAUCUGAUUGCAUCAGGUGACUUUUACGGCCAAUACAGAUUUUUAAUUUAAUUGAAAACUAAACAUGAAUUGGUCAACUUAGGAAAAACAUAUCAAUUUAUUCUUAAACAUAAUCUAAAAUCUAAUAUUUCUACGAUCGUUGGGACUAGUCCGUAAAAAUACGUUGGGCCACCAAUGUCCCCAUAUUUGGGUCCAAAAAAUAAUCUAAUUAUCUUAUAAUAUAGUAAUAAUAAUUCCUGGGCUUGGGCUCAAAACAAUCCAUUCUUUGUAUUAGCAGUUCUCUUUUUUCCUUUCAAUUAAUUUCUAAAAAUCGAUUAAAAAAUAUUGGGUUUAAAUUUGAUUCGUACGUAAAUUCAAAAUAAUUAAAAUAAAAUAGUUUAAUCCAAUAAUAAGAGUUUUUUUUUAAAAAAAAAAAUAUAAGGAGGAAUUUUUAUGUAUUUAUGUAAAUAUUACUUUUUCACAAUAUUUAUAAUAUAAAACUCAGAGCUACCGCAUGAAGAAGACAUUAUUAAGUAAGAUACUAUUGUUUGUCCGCCGUUGGUUGACCAAGUUUCUUUCUUCUUGCUCAGCUACUCAACAACAUUGCACAAUUUAAACAAAAAAAAAAAAAAAAAGAAAACCUAAAAAAUUCAAAAAUUAUUUCAUACUUUAUUAUUAUAUUUUUAAUAAUAUUAUUAUUUCAGAAAAAUAAAGGAUAUUCAUUUAGAUUUGUACACAAAAUUAUCAUUUAAUAUAUGUACCAAAAAAUUAAUGAUACUCUCACCAAUAUACUACACCAGCUUACAAUAAAUUUUUAUUUAAUUUAAAAUAUAACUAAAAAUAAAAAAUCUAAAAUGAUAAAAGUAAUUUUUCUGGUCUUAAAAAAAUUUAUUACUUUCUUGUUUCUGAUAAUAAACAGAGAGAGAGAGAGAGAGAGAGAGAGAGGCAUCAUUAAAAACAAGUGGAAAAGAAUAGGCAAAGGGCGCAUUGAGGUGCGUGAUUGCUACUAAAUUCGUCAUCUUCUUCCUUCUUUCUUUCUAACACGCACCAGAUCAAAAUCAUCAGCCAAUAGAAAACAACAGCAAAAAAAAAAACGAAAAAGAAAUAAACAUAUUCCAGUUAACCCACCGCCACUAGACAAGAGAGAACCAGAAACAGAGCGCUCAGAGAUUAAGUCAUUUGCAACGGAGUAAAGGAGGCGGAGAAUAUGAGCAGUCAGGGUAAACUUGUCUCCUCAAGUUCUGAAUUGGAUUUGGAUCGUCCCAACAUCGAAGACUACCUCCCUUCCGGAUCCUCCAUCCAAGAGCCUCAUGGCAAGCUUCGCCUGUAAUCUUCACAACCUCUCUCUCUAGACAUAGCUGUAUCUAUAUAUAUGUAUAUGCAUGCAUGCUUCGAUAUGUAUAUGUCAUUUUGCAUUUGGAUUUCGUUUGCGCGAUAACUAGUUAGAGAUGAAAAACUGUCCUCUGGCGAGAUUCCGAUUUGCGCCUUCUUUUUUCUUUGGUUUUUCUCGAUAAGCUAAAAUGACUUCAGGCGAUUGAUUGAUUGAUUUUGACUGGUGAUGCUUGGCGAACUCUUUUUUAGGCGUGAUUUGCUUGACAUUUCGCCUACUCUGACUGAAGCUGCCGGUGCCAUUGUCGAUGUAAGCUCUCUCGCGAUUCUUAGUAAUUUUUGUAGUCAUGUUUGUUUUAUGGAGAAAUGAUUCCGGAAAAAUUUUCGGUCCAGGAGGGAGGGGAAUAAUUAGAUUGUGAGCUGUGUGAGUGCUUUUACUUCUUUUAUUGGAAGGUGAUUCCUUAAACAUGAUUUCUCUAUCUUCGGGUUAAUAUUUCAAAAAGAAUAGAUAUCUUCUGGUUAAGAGUGAAUUUCAUGCCAUCAAUUUGAGAAAAGUAGAGACUGAAAUCAAUUUUCUGUUUACAUGUAAAAAUCUUUAUUUAUAGAAACUUCUGAUUUUACCUGAAAUUGCCAGGACUCCUUCACGCGAUGUUUUAAGUCAAUUCCUCCAGAACCUUGGAACUGGAACAUAUAUUUGUUUCCUCUAUGGUGUUUUGGCGUGCUCAUUCGACAUUUUAUUCUUUUUCCUGUGAGGUAAGCUUUUUUUAUCUGCUCAGAUAGAGGGAGAGUGUUGAAUCAUGCUAUAUGCAGUCUUUCUUCUUUAAUCUCACUGCAGAAUUUAUUUCCCCCACUAAAUGAUCUCUAUCUCGAGCUUGAAUUGUAUAUCUUGGUAUUAUUUUUAAUGAAUCAUCUGAUUCUUUUGUAGCCAACUGGCUUUGUUAAGUAGCGCAUGUUAUGUUGUAUCCGCAACUAAUUACUGGAUAUCCAUAAAAUCUGCAGGUGUCUAGUGUUGGCAGUAGGAUGGUUUAUAUUUCUCUCAUCAUUCAUUCCAGUGCACUAUCUGCUGAGAAGCCAUGAUAAGUUGAGAAAAAAGAUAGAGGUCUGAGCUUUAUCUUAUGCAGAGUUCCCUGGAUUCAUACCAUUAGAAUACUGUUAUUCUCUUUCUUCUUGAAUCUUCAUUAUAUGUGGUAUUGUUCGUACUAAAUAAACUAUGCCAUUGAGUUCCCUGCCAUUUUUAUGCUUGGGGCUGGGACCAUUUCCAUAAAUUUUUUAGCCAUAAUCUUCUUAAUACAUCUGGUUAUGCAACUUUCAACAUGUAAUCUUUCUAUACUAAGAAACUAAGUAAGUGUCUAGAUACCCACAGAGAUGAGGGAAUAUAGAAAAAAGAGAGUAACUUGAAGUUUGCUUUAUGGAACCCUAGGUAUCUUUACUCUACCUUUUAGUGUAAGAAGCAGGAUGCUAUAAACCAACUCCUCUAGGACAUUUCAAUUUUUCAUGUUUGUCUAUGAUUAGAGGAGGAGACCAGCAGAUUAUGCUCUACAUGCUUUAUCAACCCUCUGGACUGUAAGAAAAGCAUGGCAGGAAGGAUGCGCUUUGUCCAUGAUUAGAGUUAUUACUAUUGCCCAGACUAAUUCCAUUUAAUCUUACUAUAUUUUCUAUAUCUCAAAAAACAAAAAUCUUACUAUAUUUUUUGUCAAAUUAUUUUUUCAGAUAAUUUUUUGCGUUAUUUGAUAUCUGGUGUUCCCUUUUUUGAAAUGCAAUCAACACAUUUCAGAUCCAAAUUUGACCCAAUACUUUGUCUUCCUAUGUCUUGUUCUCUCUAUCUGAGAAUUGGAUUUUAUUUCCUUUUCACUUUCAAACUCAAGAUUGCUUAUUUUCUCUUCAGAGGUGCUUGGUAGAGAUGAUGUGCAGUUUCUUUGUUGCAUCAUGGACUGGUGUUGUCAAAUACCAUGGUCCUAGGCCUAGCAUCCGGCCUAAGCAGGUUAUGCUCUUUAAAAUGUGUCCUGCAGAUACCUUAACUAGCCCCCAGGUGUUUUUUUUAAAAACAAUUUGUUGACAACCAAAAUCUCUUUUGAGUAUUAACCAAAAUCUCUUUUUGUUUUGUGUUGAACAGGUGUUUGUGGCCAACCAUACCUCAAUGAUAGAUUUUAUCGUCUUAGAACAGAUGACUGCAUUUGCUGUUAUCAUGCAGAAGCAUCCUGGAUGGGUUGGUAAGUAUUAACGUCACGUGCUUGUAGGACACAUGCUAAGAAUUUAAUGUUGCAGUAUGCACGUUAAGAGUCUCCAAUGCCUCUUGAGUUGGGAAAAUGUAGCUUAUGUGUUUUCAAUAGAUGAAGUUCCAUAUAUAUUUUUUCUCCUCUUUUCAAUUCCCACAUCAUCUGCCUUUGUUUUGACUCCUUUUUUUUUCGGAUUUUUUAGAAAUUCAAUAUUGAUAUGUACAAUUCUAGAUGGACAUUAAUCAUUUUUACUUUCAUUGUUAGGAAAUGUAUGUUCUUGUUGGAGUAUUCAUAUCUGGAGGUGGAAAAGUGGUUUCAGCAAAUUAUCACUCGUUUUGCAGUCUUCCUCGGUUUCAACUUAUUAUUGAGAUAUUUUUUGUUUGCAUUGGAAGCGAAGUCAUUUAUUGGAAAUAUCUAAUUUUAGAAGCCUGGAUUUUAUGCUUUCCUUUUUUCUGAUUUUGUUGCUUUCUGCUAAUGCAGAGCUGACUGAUCAUGAGCAUAAAAUGUGAAUUUGAAUAUACUGAAUGUUCUAUUUGAUUUGUUUUGGUUUUAUGUUUAGGACUACUGCAAAGCACUAUACUAGAGAGUGUAGGGUGUAUCUGGUUCAACCGUUCAGAGGCAAAGGAUCGUGAAAUUGUAGCCAAGAAGUAAGUAAAAUUGUCACGGGCAAGAACAUUUGCAUCCUGUUAUUUCCAAUGGUUAUGAUAAUUUGAUUUAAAUCUUUCAGGUUAAGGGAUCAUGUUCAGGGUGCUGACAACAACCCUCUUCUUAUAUUUCCUGAAGGGACUUGUGUGAACAACCACUACACUGUUAUGUUUAAGAAGGUACAAGAGCAAAUAUUUGGUGGAUUAUUGAAGUUUUCUUUAAACUUUAAUUUUUUUAUCUCCUUGAUGGUUCAGGGCGCUUUUGAACUUGGCUGCACUGUUUGCCCAAUUGCAAUCAAGUACAACAAAAUUUUUGUUGAUGCCUUUUGGAAUAGCCGGAAGUAAGUAUAACUCUUGAAAAAUUUUAAUUUCUGCAGAUAACUAUAACAGCAUGGAAUUUUGGCUUGUAGAAUCAAGUAGAGUUUAUUUUACUUCCUGUUAAGAUGCUUUCCUGUUUGUGAAGACUAUGAUUAUGCUGCUUAGCAGGCAUAGUUUUUUUUUUUUUCUUUUAAAUAUUUGAAUCACACAUGAUGUUUCACUAUGUUGUUUAGCUCGUAUUUCAUUUGUAGAUUCACAUCAUGAUGUUUCCCACAUUUUCUCUGCAGGCAGUCCUUCACAAUGCAUCUGCUGCAGCUAAUGACAUCCUGGGCUGUCGUAUGUGAUGUGUGGUACUUGGAGCCCCAAAAUCUGAAGCCUGGUGAGACAGCCAUUGAGUUUGCAGAGAGGUAAAAAUUCUUACUGAUUUGCAAUGAAACUGAGCAUAUUCAUUGAUAGAGAAAAUUUUGUCUCCAUUAGCUUGUUUCGGAUCUUGGAGUUUGAGACCUUUUAUGCAGGGUAAGGGACAUAAUAUCUGUUCGAGCAGGUCUGAAAAAGGUUCCGUGGGAUGGAUAUCUGAAGUAUUCACGUCCGAGUCCAAAACAUAGAGAACGCAAGUAAGCGAAUCAUUUCCCAGAUUCUUUCCAUCUUUUCUAAGCUUGAAGCUAUUUUACAUCUAUCAAUUGAUACUUGGUUUGAUCAUUUAUAUGUAGCUACAAGUUCUUACGCAUCUGCUUCUUGUUUAUCUAUAUUAUCCCUGAGGACAUUAAGGGAACAUUAAUAUGGUGUUUAUCUCAACUUUUGGUCAAAUGAGCUCUUGAAAGAUGGUAGAGGGUAGCUCUUAUUUUGGAGAGCUUGUAAGUUGUCUAAAGUAAGUUGGUGUGGACUACAAAAUGUCUUAAGUAGUUCUAAACCAAUUUCUUAGAAACUCAUGUUAUACAAACAUUUUAGAAGCUUAUUUAUGAAAUAAAUUCAUACAGCAAUAUUCUAUUGAAGAAUUUUGAGCUCCUUGUGUGUUUUAGAUUGGGCCAAACAUCAUCCAAAUAUAAAAACACCUUUGAAUAAUAUGGUUUUUCUCCCACCAGUUUUAUGGGCAUUCUUAGCAGUCAUAGGGAUUGGUUGCUGGGUUCUUUAGGUAACCUGUGAUAUCUCAUGUUGUUGAUAGCUUGUACACUUGCCACCUAUGACCAUUUAACAUCUAAUAUUUACAUAUAUUCAAAGAACAAUAAGGUACCAUGAACAUGGAGUACUGCAUUUGACUGAAGAAAAUUGUCAACAAUGAUUGUAUUGAUCUUGUGGAAAGGCUUUAAAUUAUUUUUAUUGUCUUCCGCUAUUUCCUUUUGGAUGUGAAAAACAAAAACUUACCUCAGUAACCUUGUUUCGUGGUAUUGGGUUUUGUCCAUAACUGGGGCAUUUGCUAAUAUAAUCAGCUUGAUUAAUAAAUAUACCUGAUGGCAUUUGAAGCACCCUUACAGCUUGAAGCUCACUGCUGAUUUUGCAUGUACAGGCAACAAAACUUUGCUGAGUCUAUCCUGCGCCGCCUGGAGGAGAAGUGACUGUACAUUGGUUUUCCAUUUCUUUAGUAGUAUUGAUCCAAACUACUGAGGCAUGUUACCAUGCCUAAUUCUAUCUUACAUUUAAAUGCAGACUUGACCAUGAAUAACACUUGAAGGAGAUGGGUUUGAGGAUUGAAAGGUUCACACCAAAUAGAAACUUGCUCGGAAUAGUUCUCCGGUACUAUCCUGACCUCUCAACUAGAGUGAAGUUGCUCAGGAAGGGCAAACUCUAAGUUGUUAGUAGUGUGUUGUUGAAUAUAUGUGCAUGAAAAAUUUUGGGAACACUGUCAAAUUUAAAUAUUCUUCCUGGUGAAACAUCCACCUCUAUUUAAUUAAUUUCCAAAAAAAUAGGAUGAAAUAUUGUUGAUGUAUAUUAUUAUUGGGGAAAGAAGGAAAAAAAGAGAAAGAGAAAAGACAGUCAUGGGGUGCAUGCAACAUUCAAGAGUCAGCUGAACGGGUUUUCUCAUAAAAAUGUUGCUUUGGCAUGCUUGGGUCUAUCAGGGUGUUCGCACUCUUGUUUUUAUCCACUACUCUUGUAGGAUUCUUCUAAAAUCCUUAUCAAAUUUAAACAAGAAGGGAGUAAGCUGUGGCCGCCGCUGAGCAAUUACCAACUAAACGUUCAGGAAGGAGGCUUGAGAAACGUUGGAUUGCAGCGCAGGUACAGCACGAAGUUAGCAAAGAACACAAGCCCAGUUCAUGCUUGAAAAUACAAAAUAUAAAUUUACCAUAUUUCUGUAUUAUAAUUUGGUAUGAAUUAGUGCCAAUGUAAGCGGGCAACAUAAUUUUUCGUAGCUACGUUUAGAAAAGAAAAUUGUGGAAUCUAUUAGAAAUUUACAAUUGGUUUAGAAAGGAAAUAAUGGACGUUUAGACGAGAACAACAAACAUUGAUACCGGCAUGAAUUUCGCUUAUAAUUUUAAAUUCUAUAUUUACUGGUAGAAUUUUAAUAAUUUCCUACUAAGUUAGUGCCAUUUUUAAAAUGUCAUAUCUUUAGCAAAUUAGUGAUGAAUGGAAUACAAAUUUGACUUAGUUCGCAAUUGCCUUAACGAAAAUAGAUGUUCAUAGCUCGUAAUUGUCAUUUGAUGACAUUAUAAUUUUAGGAUCGGUACAAACGAAAUGGUACGAUUUUCCUUUUGGGCAGAUAAGAUAAAUGAUGUGUGAAUAAUUUAUUUGAUAAAUAAUACUCAAGUAUACAUGAUGUCGUUGUCUUCUAAUAUUCUGAAGUAAUUUAUUACAAAAUUAAAUGUUUAUGUAGCCUUCCAAUUCAAUAAAAUGCGUAUACGCAAUUAUGGUAUGGUAUUACACUUUUUUAUCAAUAACUUUAGUAGAAACGUAAGUUGACUAAUAAAAUUAAGGGCAAAUUACUAUAAUAGUUUAUAAAUUUUUCUUUAUGUUAUAAUUAGAUUAGACAAUUUUGUUUUUAUAAAAUUAUUUCACUUCAUGAUUCACUUAUACAAUUAGAGAAACUUCUAAUCAAGGCAACGGAUUUUUCUUUUGUUUUGACUACAUAUUAUUCUUUAUAGGAUUUAAUAGUUACGAUAAAUUAAAGAUUGAAAUUAAUAAACAAAAUAAAAAUAAUUAAUUUACUUUAUUUAAACUACUAUAUUCAUGAUAUUUACAGAUAUUAGGAAACAAAAAGAGAUAUAAUAUAAGUUUUUUUAAAUUAUUAAUUUUCUUUCUCUAUUCGUAGCUGUAAACAAAAACAUUAUAUUUUCAGUAUAAAUCCAAAAACAAUUUUUAUUGUUUCUCAAAGAAAAAUAUAUCUAAAAUAAUUUUACAAGCUCGCGCACCAAAUUAUGAUGAAAAUUUGAAGUAAAUAACAACAUAGUUUAUAAUUUAUUAAUUAAAUUGAUUACUUAUCUUAAAACUAAUGAAGGGUAAUUUUUAUUAGUUUCCAGAUAAAUUAUACCGUUGAACAGCUACAAUUAUUAAUUUAUUUUACACCCGUUACUUUCCUAAAUGCUGUAUAGACGUGCCAACCGACCCCACACAUUUACUUUACUCGUAAUGAAAGCAUUGACUCGCAAUGACCGAGCUUUUUUUUUUUUUUUUAAUAGAAUAUAGAAUACAUAUUUUAGUACAUAAAACUCCAGUAAAGAGUCCUUCUAAAGACAUUCAGAGAGCCCGCUGCAGACGGUUCAUAAUAAAAAAUCAAGUUGGCCCAGAAAGUCCGCACAACGAUAAUUCUAUACGCAGCUCCCCCCUACAUUUCCACAUUUGACUUAUGAACCGUGAGAACAAUUUGAAGAAAAAGUAUUUUCCUUUUUUUUGGCGCAUUUAUUGGAAUUUUAAAUUUUCCAGUCCAUAUUUUAUAUUGAUUAUUGUAAAGAAAAAUAAGUGUUUUGAAUCCCCCCACCAAUAAGAAUAAAAAUAUUUCAUCAUUAAACAUGUGAAACAAGAAGACCAACCCACAUUCUUCUUUAGUUGGAUCGAGUGGCAAUUACCACUUAUAUAAUCAUCACAUCACUUCUACUCAUUUCCGGAUCACUAAAUUAUGAUUAAAUUUUUUAUUUCAAUAACUAAUUAAUAACUAGAUAAUAAUUUAGUGUUAAUUUCUAAAAUACAAAAAACCUCAUAAAUUCGUCAUCAAAUUACGAGAGCACCCACCACAUGGACGAAAACUAAAACACCCGUCCUGUCCUUAUCUUCUCCAAUAACAAAAUUUGCAGACUCCGACCCCUUUAAGAAACCCACUUUCUACCCUUCAACAAAUAUACAGUAAUGGCUUUUUCCUCCUCUUCUUCCUCUCACUGCUUUCUCUUACUCCCUCUUCUUCUCUUCUCCGUUUUAAUCGCUCACUCAGCCGCUCAAGGCGGCAGAUUCACUUGCAAUUCCUCCUCAAAGUGUCAAUCCCUCGUUGGCUAUCUCACCCCCAACGCCACCACCUUGUCCGAACUCCAAUCUCUCUUCACCGUCAAAAAGCUCCGCUCCAUUCUCGGCGCUAACAACCUACCUCUCUCAACCCCACGCUCCUUCUCCAUUCCCGCAAACCAGACUAUCAAAAUCCCUAUCCCUUGCGUUUGCUCAAACGGCACCGGCAUCUCCGACAGAGUCCCUAUCUACAAAGUCAAGAAAGACGACGGCCUCUUUCAUAUCGCCGCCGACGUUUUCGGCGGUCUGGUUCAGUUCCAGCAUAUUGUGGAGAUCAACAAUAUUCCUAACCCGGACUUGAUUGAGGUUAACCAGUCGCUGUGGAUCCCGCUGCCUUGCAGCUGCGAUGAGGUGAACGGAGAACGAGUCGUACACUACGCUCACGUGGUGUUAGAAGGGAGCUCCGUCGAGGAAAUUUCCAGCGAGUUUGGGGUGGAUAAGGAGACUUUGUUGAAGCUCAAUGGGAUUUCCGGUGACAAUCAACUUAUCGCUGCUAAAGCUUUUGAUGUUCCUCUCAGAG
rnacentral:lncRNA from 1 species